rnacentral:rRNA from 1 species
GGGAACGCGGGGAAGUGAAACAUCUCAGUACCCGCAGGAAAAGAAAGAGAAAUUCGAUGGCGGGAGUAGGGGCGACCGAAA